rnacentral:rRNA from 1 species
CCCUUAGAUGUUCUGGGCCGCACGCGCGCUACACUGUUCGACGCAGCGAGUCUUAACCUUGACCGAAAGGUUUGGGUAAUCUUCAGUAAAGUCGAACGUGAUGGGGAUCGAUCAUUGCAAUUAUUGAUCGUGAACGAGGAAUUCCUAGUAAGUGCAAGUCAUCAGCUUGCGCUGAUUACGUCCCUGCCCUUUGUACACACCGCCCGUCGCUACUACCGAUUGAAUGGUUUAGUGAGAUCUCUGGAUUGACGCUGGCUAGGGGGCGACCCUUGGCCAGACUGUUGAGAAACUGCUCAAACUUGAUCAUUUAGAGGAAGUAAAAGUCGUAACA